CCUUUGAUAGCUCAGUUGGAAGAGCGCAAGACUGUAACAGGUUGCCAUCUUGCGGUCGCUGGUUCGAACCCGGCUCAAAGGA
rfam:Postia placenta Mad-698-R POSPLscaffold_60_Cont3374, whole genome shotgun sequence.